CCUACGGGAGGCAGCAGUGGGGAAUAUUGGGCAAUGGGCGCAAGCCUGACCCAGCAACGCCGCGUGAAGGAAGAAGGCUUUCGGGUUGUAGACUUCUUUUAAGAGGGAAGAGCAGAAGACGGUACCUCUUGAAUAAGCCACGGCUAACUACGUGCCAGCAGCCGCGGUAAUACGUAGGUGGCAAGCGUGGUCCGGAUUUACUGGGGGUAAAGGGCGUGCAGCCGGGAAGACAAGUCAGAUGUGAAAUCCCGCGGCUCAACCGCGGAACUGCAUUUGAAACUGUUUUUCUUGAGUACCGGAGAGGUCAUCGGAAUUCCUUGUGUAGCGGUGAAAUGCGUAGAUAUAAGGAAGAACACCAGUGGCGAAGGCGGAUGACUGGACGGCAACUGACGGUGAGGCGCGAAAGCGUGGGGAGCAAACAGGAUUAGAUACCCUUGUAGUC
rnacentral:rRNA from 1 species